GAAGAACUGAUAGACGGGUGUUUGGAAUCGUGCGACCAUGACGGCUGUAACUUAGCUAACCGGAGUCAAUGGAGUGGGACACUUUUCACUAUUUCUCUGAUUUACGCGUGUUUCUUCCACAGUGACUACAAUUUUUAGUACAAAGUGCUGACUUAUAUAUCUUUACACAGAAAAUGCACUAUGAUUUACUACACACCAUGGUACACAGGAGAUAUAUUUGUAAAUAUAUAAUAUUUGCUGUAUGUACAUAGUUUAUAAUUAUCCUUUAUAAAAUCCCUUCUGUACACUUCGAUUUUAAUUUCCAAAUAUUCCACAGUGUUUGUCCACAUCUAAAACCCGAUGUGGUUGAACUAAAUCUUGAUUUAUUUCAUUUCGCCCUAUUACACUUUUUGUUUAUCCCAUAUAUACUUAUCUUUUAUUUAGUACACGUGUUAUAUUGAAUCGAUUCCAGAUUAUAUUUAAAUGGUUUUCAUUUAAAAUGCACAUGUAUUGAUUAUCGACAAGAUUCAUGAAAUGUGAAUUUAAUAUCUUUACAAAACACCUUUUUAGAAGUCACUUAUUAAUUUUCAAUUUGUUAAUUGUGUGGUUAAUUAUAUCGUGUUUAUUGUUUUGAAUGCAUCAUCGAAAGUGUGAGAAUAAACAAUAACUUCAAGAAG
rnacentral:misc_RNA from 1 species